CAAAAGAAAUGUUGAAUCAAGGUUUCUUGGGUUUACAGUUGGUGUGUUUGCAUUCCCACCGCAUAUGUAGGAGAAUUACCUCAGGCAUCGGUAAAGAAUUUAACGAAGCAAUGUCUGUUGCACUGAGUUCUGAUUCUUUGUUUUAGUUUUAUGCUUCAACUGAGGUAGAGAUUUCAAUGAAAUAAAAGAACAUAUGAUUCUUAAAUUGGCUAGUUCCUGGAGGAUGGGAGCUUAGUUAUACAUGUUUGGAAUAGUUUUAGUUCCAAUUUUUGUUGUGCUAGUUGUUAUGAUUGCCACCCUUUUGUUUUGAAAGAAGUAAUAUUUAUUGGUAGAGUUAUAUUUUUCUUCUUUUUUAUUUUUUGAGGUGAUUCUUAGUUGUGACACAUCAACACCCUCAACAUUAAUGUUGAACUAAUAGCAUUGGUUAGUUGAUUCGGAAUAUGGAUUCUCAUUGUCUUUUCUCUGUUUUUUCUUUUUUGGGUCUAUUACUGUACAUGCUCAUCUUUUUCCAAACGGAAGUGUAUUUAUUGACAGAUGUAUGUCUUUUGCUUCCUUUUAAUGAUUAAUGGCUGGUGGGGAUUUAUGAGACAAAGCGUUGCUCUAUUCUUUCUCUUAGUUUUUUCUCAGAAAAUAAGAAAGACGCUUGUAAAUUGUCCUAUUACUUGUUGGGUUCUCUUCUUUUAAUUUGCAGCUUUUCAUUCUCCAAAUUUUUAUUUAUCAAGUUUGAGACUUUGACUUUUUCUUUCUUCAAGUGGUCCUUAAUUUGCCCAAACGUAUAUUUUAUGUUUAAAGAAACUGUAGUUUAUUCCAUCAGUUCUUUUCUCAGUUACGAGAUAUCAGAGAUUGAGAAAUGGAAACAUGAAAUUUUGGUCAUGGCUGUGAAGGUUUGCUUAUUGACCUACUUUUUUUUUUCAUUUAUCUGUUUUUAGGGGAUGGUGGCACUGAGUGUUGUAGAUCUUUAUUCUUGUUGGGAUGGAGUUUUUUGUUUGGCAUGAGGCUUAUGAAUCUGGAUAACAAUGUGUUGUUGAAUAUUUGUGUAUUUUUUUUUGAAACUUUUAAUAGUGUUGUAUCGGAUAAAAGGGAAAUUACAGAGAGAGAGAAGGGAAAAGGGGGUAGAGACCACCCACUAGACGGGGUUCUAUACCAAAAAAUAGGCGAACCACAGAGCAGUGGCCCUAUACAAAAAAUGGGGCAGAGCCCGUACAUAUGCACAAAACAACCAAAACGUUGUGGAGGUAUAGUCCACUGAAAGUAUAACAAAAAAGACAAUGCUCCACAGUAAGAAACGGGAAGGGCUCCUUGCUUAGCGAGGGCAUCCGAUUCCCGCCACGUAUGCCUCCAUGAGACGGCAAUAUCCCUGCAUAAGUGAGUAAUUUCAUAAAAAAUAGGGGCGAAGUACCAGGGACAAGGUGAGCAACCUGAGGCCCAGGAGAUGACAUUCUGGGCAUCGCAUUCCACAAUCAAUGAGAGACCCCAUAGAGGGUCGAAAAGAUUGAUGCCCUUGAGGAGGGAACGGGAUUCAGCUGUCUGGGAAUCAGUGUGGCCCAGGUGAGACGGGAAUAAGGCUGAGCUGAUUUCUGAAAUGCCUCCAGUGCCUGACGAUCUGGAGUUACCAAGGGAGCACCCAUCAAAGUUGAGUUUGGUUGUCCCGGGGGGGAGGUGACCAUAAGGUGGACCGAGAAGGGCAAGAAGGCCGGAGAAGGAGUAAGGACUUCUAGUUGGUUAGGAAGGUGAAGGGUAGACCUUUGAAUCUCUUGUAAUUGGAGGCCCAAAAGAUGACCGAGGAGAUAAUCUUGUGGAAAAUGAUCGGAGUCAAGCAUUUCUCUCUGAAAAUCCUGGAAUUUUGCUCAAUCCAGAUUGUCCACACCGUGGCAGCCACGGAUGCUUGCCACAAAAUUGGGCCAGCUAUUGGCUACGGGCAAGCAAGGUGCUACUUGAAGAGAGCCAGUAUAGAAGGGGGAGUAACCCAUUGCCAUCCAAAGAGGCGGAGUAAGGAACCCCGCACAGGUUUUGGGCCAAAUUGCAAUGGAGGAAAGGUAGGGGUUACUGUCUUCGCCAGAUAAACACAUCGAAUAUCUGUUGGGGAUUGCACAUUGAAAGCAUUAACAUUUUAGUUUCAAAUUAUUAUUUCAAGAUGAUAACUGUAUGCGAUACUUUUUUUUCUGAUUUUCUAUUCUAGGUUUUCAAUACUUUAUAGUAUGAUUGUUCAAUAUGUAUUACUAUAUCUUUUGAUGUAUGGUCUUGUGGAUCCUGGGAACUAGUGACUUCAUGAUGACUUUUUGUAUCAUAGCAAUUUUAAACAAAUUCGUAAUUGAUAGAUUUGAAGAUAAUAAGUGUAGUAACUUUAACAUUGAGGUUUCCCAUGUGGCCAAGAUCAUAACACUGUACUUGUUUUGUAUCUCUUUUACAUUGUUAACAUAUGAAGUGUGCCUAGAUGAAAGUCCCAAUUUAGUAGUUUAAUAGUUUUUCUUGGUUUAAUAAAAAUAGUAAAGUUCUGGUUUUUGUUUGAUAAUAGAGCAAGAGGAGAUUGUCAGAUCAUUUGAGAAGAAACAUGAACAACAAAACACUCUAUGGAGGGCAAUGAAAUGAUGACCCCUGUGCCUUUUACAUGUUAUUAUGGUGAAAUAACUUAUUAGGACAACUUUCUAGGAUAAGAUAUCAUUGAUGUUGGUGGUUGCUUACUUGAUAAAUGGGUUUUUUAAUGGUGUUUUUGCAGUCAUCCGGCUUUCUUUCGCCGUGUUUUACAUCUUCUCUCUCUUUUAAGAAGCUUUGUAUCCAUGGGAACUGGUAAGAAAUAUAAUUUAUUCACAUCUUUUACUCUUUCCUUGUGUUUUUUCUUUAUGUUUGUGUCCUAGUUCGUCUAGGAAGUUUAGUCUUAUAAAUUUGACUGAAUAAAAUUAUGCUUAGAUCUUCUUGAGCUUGUCUUUUCUUCUAUUGAAUUUCUAUCCAGCAAUCUUUGGAUCAUAUCUCCUACAAGAUGAUAGUGGCACAUUAUUGCUUAUGACUUUGGAAUUCUUGUAAGGAUUCUAGAGAAAUAGCUGUUCUCUUUGUUUACAAAUAUUAUUCUUUUUAGCUGGUUAACUAGCCCUGAAUAGUCAAAUUGAUUUUUGCAGGUCACUAGUGAUUCUAUUAUUCGUAGGGAAAGAAAGGUGUGAAUUGCUUAUACUGGCUUCUAAAAUGCAAUAAUUUACCCACGUACAGUUAUGGACAUG
rnacentral:lncRNA from 1 species